CUUCUGCACACGCUCACCUCCCAGUGAGCAGCUGGAGAAGCGGAACGACGCUAAGAACAUGCAACACCAGGCUGGAGACCAAAAGAAGGGGUUUGGGCCCACUCUGCUUCUUUUCCAGGAGAGGAGCAGGAGGAGGAGGAGGAAAGGGUGUCGUGACAAAGGCUGCAGCUGUCUUUUCUGCUUCUUUUGAAGAAAGGAGAAAAAUGACAUAAUGGCUUUUAUGCUCAGGGGGAGAAACACGACCUUUUCACCUACCUGGAACACCAACUUUAUGGAACAUUUCUAAAGACGCAGAACUUAGCUCAUUAGUGAGCAUCAGUAAAACAGGAUUUGUUCACAGUGGCUAAGUUCAGUGUCUGACAAGAAAAAAUCCACUCCUGCAUACCUGAGGGUCCUGGCUGCCCAUAACACCUUAGAGCUGAUGGGAGAGGAAUGAGUGCCAUUUAAAAGCUCCUGUACUGUAAAAAGUAGUGGAAUGCUGCAAAAGUCUUUGCAUGUCCUGACAAGUUAUGUUGAAAUCAGCUUGAAGAUAAAGAAUAAUAAGAAAACAGAUGCUAAAUUAGGAAGAAUGAGAGCAAAAGAAUACAUGAAUGCAAUUUGGUUGUUUGCUUUUUAUCACACUGAAUGUAAAUUGCAGAGGGAUAACUGAUUCAUUGUGUCAAAGAUGUAAAGACAGAUAUGAUGUAAGUCGAUGAAAAUGCAACUUUGCAGGAUUUAAAAAAGAGCUGUUGCUUGUUAAAAGUUUGCCUUCAGUUAUUUUUGGAGAAUUCGUCACACUCAGCUAUAUUUCGGUUGUUUACUCAUGUGCCUACUGAACUGGAAUCAGUGUAUCUUUGCAGAACUGGCUCAGUCCAGCAGGAACAAGUGUGACACCUAAUGAGAGUUCAUCGCUUCCUCCAUCAAAGCCAUCACCAGCAGCAACACACCAGAGAUGACCACUCAUAUUUGUAUCCAUUUUAAAGUGUCACACUGGGACGGAUGACAAAAUUAAAUGAAGUAUGUUCUCCUCUUCCCUAAUUUGUCCUCCUGUGUGGGCGAUCCUGGCUGCCUCUGCAGGUAGUCGCUUUCAGCGGCAGCUGAUUCUGCUGAGUAACAAUUUGCGUUGCCUCUCUUCAUUCAUCAUGCUAUAAUAAGCUGUCAGUGUGUCUCUGAGCGUCUUUGCUAAAUUGGGAUACAGCAGCUCGACACCUCUGCAGUCAUUAAAUACACGAAUGGACAGGCUUUGCAUUAGCAUAAGCAGAAGCGAUGAUCAUAAGAUAUGCUAUUGAUUUUAAAUAACCUGAAGCGUUGAGGUUGAGAUGUGAACAAUUACUACUCACCUUGAAAUCUGCAGAUAUUUUGGGGUUGGGGUGGGCAGCUCAUUGCAGUCUGAUUUACCUUGAGAUAUAAUAAUUAACUUUUAAUUAUUUACAGUAUAGUUAACAUCAGCAAGUAAGGGUUGAUAAUGUUGUAAGGAGGUAUGGGUCAGAAGUAAGCAUACCCUCAUUAUAUAAAUAUCAAAUCGAGACACUUUAUGUGUUUCAGUUUGAUAUUUUUAAGCAUUAGAGUUCUUUUCACUGGCACUUACCAACCACAUAAAGAACAUUCCACACAAUAAUCACCUGUGCACCAUGCAUUAUCUAAUACAGAGCAAUCAGGGAAAUCCUGUUCUUCUGUCAACUGCUAAGCCCAGAGUUGUCUAUUGGAGACUUUAUCAGCCCUGUUCCUUUAAAUCCCACAGAUCUAAAUGUUUUAUAGGUGUUUCUCUUCUGCCCUACACAUCUCACAUCAAUGGAUGAAAAUAGGUUCUGUAGCAUUUGAUUGCAAGAGGAAGGGAAUGCAAGUUGAAUCAGGUGUGCUGGAGAAGCUCUACAUCUAAAACAUGAAGGAAUAUGGGCCCUAAGGACCAGCUUUGAGAAACAAAGUUCUAACACCUCGAAUCAGACAAGGUAUGGUAUAUAGGCAGCUGAAAACAUUACUGUACACAAAGGUGAGUACAUUUACAUUUCCAUCAAUUACACAUGUACAGUUACAUUUCCAUCCAUCCAUUCAUUUUCCUUCAGGCUUAUCCAUCCUGGGGUCGCGAGGGGUGCUGGUGCCUAUCCCCAGUUGUCUACGGGCAAGAGGCGGGGUACACCCC